GGCUCAGGACGAACGCUGGCGGCGUGCCAAUACAUGCAAGUCAACGGCUUUCUAUGGAAGCUUGCUUCCACUGAGAAGAUAGUGGCAACGGGUGAGUAACACGUGGGUAACCUGCCCAUAAGAGGGGGGAUAACAUCCGGAAACGGGUGCUAAUACCGCAUAGUUUCUUGAUCGCAUGAUUGAGAAAGGAAAGACGGCCUUUGUGCUGUCGCUUAUGGAUGGACCCGCGGCGUAUUAGUUAGUUGGUGAGGUAACGGCUCACCAAGACGAUGAUACGUAGCCGACCUGAGAGGGUGAUCGGCCACAUUGGGACUGAGACACGGCCCAAACUCCUACGGGAGGCAGCAGUAGGGAAUCUUCCGCAAUGGACGAAAGUCUGACGGAGCAACGCCGCGUGAGUGAAGAAAAGGUUUUCGGAUCGUAAAACUCUGUUGUCAGAGAAGAACAAGUUGGAGAGUAACUGCUCCAGCCUUGACGGUAUCUGACCAGAAAGCCACGGCUAACUACGUGCCAGCCGCUGC
rnacentral:rRNA from 1 species